AUACGGAGGAUCCGAGCGUUAUCCGGAUUUAUUGGGUUUAAAGGGAGCGUAGGCGGACUAUUAAGUCAGCUGUGAAAGUUUGCGGCUCAACCGUAAAAUUGCAGUUGAUACUGGUCGUCUUGAGUGCAGUAGAGGUAGGCGGAAUUCGUGGUGUAGCGGUGCAAUGCUUAGAUAUCACGAAGAACUCCGAUUGCGAAGGCAGCUUACUGGACUGUAACUGACGCUGAUGCUCGAAAGUGUGGGUAUCAAACAGGAUUAGAUACCCUGGUAGUCCACACAGUAAACGAUGAAUACUCGCUGUUUGCGAUAUACGGCAAGCGGCCAAGCGAAAGCAUUAAGUAUUCCACCUGGGGAGUACGCCGGCAACGGUGAAACUCAAAGGAAUUGACGGGG
rnacentral:rRNA from 1 species